rnacentral:misc_RNA from 1 species
AAGUCGUAACAAGGUCUCCGUUGGUGAACCAGCGGAGGGAUCAUUACAGAGUUAUCUAACUCCCAAACCCAAUGUGAACCUACCUAUGUUGCCUCGGCGGGAGAAGCCUACCCGGUACCUACCCUGUAGCUACCCGGGAACUACCCUGUAGUUGAUGGCGGACCCGCCGGUGGACAUUUUAAAAACUCUUGUUUUAUUGUGACACUCUGAGUAACAAACUAAAUAAGUUAAAACUUUCAACAACGGAUCUCUUGGUUCUG